AUGUUCAUGCCAGAGUUCCCAACUGUGAGGGUGUUGCAUUGUCUCUUCUUCUCUUUCGGUGUAUGCAUUGAAGCUUUCAGGCAUUGCCGAUCGGUGAUAUGUGUUGACGGUACUUUUCUCACAGGCAAGUACAAGGGUCAGAUCCUGACAGCCAUAGGUCAAGACGGCCAAAAUCAAGUCGUCCCACUGGCAUUUGCUUUUGUGGAGAGUGAGAACAUUGAAAGUUGGACAUGGUUCUUCAGGCAGUUGAAAAUAUCAGUUGUGAAGGAGAAGCCCAAUGUGUGCAUCCUUCAUGACAGGCAUGCAGGUAUACUCAGUGCGAUAAGGACACUGACAAACCCAGGCCCUGAGGAACAAGUUCCAUGGCAGGACUUGCAGAGCCGUUGGUGCAUGCGCCAUCUGGGGGCUAAUUUCUUCUCGCAGUUUAGAAAUAAGAACCUGAUGAAUCUGUUCAAAAAACUCUGCAAGCAGAACCAGUUAUGGAAGUACAAUUUGAUACGCGACAGACUUAAUGUGUGCACGCAGAGACACGUGAGGGACAGGAAAGUUGCAAGAGAUGCAGCGGUGAGGGCACAUGUUGAAGCAGUAGCUGCACAGUUGGCAACAGGAACAGCGGCCGUGGAGGAGGAGCCUGUUGGGCUAUGUGACCUGUCAGGCUUUGACCCACCUGGUACUAGGAGAAGGCUCGGGAGGUCGAUUAAAACCUUUGAGCAGUGGAUAGAGCAUGAGCCUCUAGAGAGGUGGUCUUUGCUAUAUGACACACAUGGAGCAAGGUACGGUGUCAUGACAACGAACCUCGCGGAAACAUACAAUUUUGUCCUCAGAGGAAACCGGGCAUUGCCACUUACAGCCAUCGUUGAGAGUAUUUUCUAUGGCACCGCCAAGUAUUUCAGAGACAGACGUCAAAAAGCAGAGCAGCAUAUCUUGAACAACCCAAAUACACGGUACUGUGAAAGAGUCACGAAGUACAUGGACAACAAGAUGCAAAAAGCUAGGUCACACACUGUAGUCGCCAUCGGUAAUCAAGAAAGAAGGUUUGAGGUCCGCUUAGCCAACAACAAAUUCAGAUGUGCAAAUGAGUUGAGGACGCAUGAGGUGAAAAUUGGCAAUGAAGCCUGGCCAACGUGUGAGUGCACAUGCAAUAAACCGAAAUUGCUUCACCUACCUUGCUCACAUGUACUUGCUGCUUGCGGGCAGCUUGGAAUGGACGCAAUAUUGUUUGUGUCUCCAUUUUUUCUGAAAGAGUCUGUCCUCAAUACCUGGAUAGGUGAGCUGAUGGGUUUUCGAUCAAUGGGUAAUUUCAACAACGUCAACCCCGCUGAAAGGCGUUACAUUCCAAACCCAGAGCAUAUGCGUACAAGUAGAGGCAGACGGCAGUGUCAGCGCAUCCGAAAUGAUAUGGAUGAAUCUGAAGCAGGAGGUCCGACUAGGCAAUGCAUUCUAUGCAAUGAAUUUGGCCAUAGGGACACUAAUUGUCCCACUUUCGUCACUGGGCGUGGACGAGGCAACCGGGGAAGAAGCGGAGGUAGAGGCAGUAGAGGAGUAAGAGCAAGAGGAAGAAGCUAA
rnacentral:rRNA from 1 species